GAUGAACGCUGGCGGCGUGCCUAAUACAUGCAAGUCGAGCGAACAGAUGAGGAGCUUGCUCCUCUGACGUUAGCGGCGGAAGGGUGAGUAACACGUGGAUAACCUACCUAUAAGACUGGGAUAACUUCGGGAAACCGGAGCUAAUACCGGAUAAUAUAUUGAACCGCAUGGUUCAAUAGUGAAAGACGGUUUUGCUGCCACUUAUAGAUGGAUCCGCGCCGCAUUCGCUAGUUGGUAAGGUAACGGCUUACCAAGGCGACGAUGCGUAGCCGACCUGAGAGGGUGAUCGGCCACACUGGAACUGAGACACGGUCCAGACUCCUACGGGAGGCAGCAGUAGGGAAUCUUCCGCAAUGGGCGAAAGCUUGACGGAGCAACGCCGCGUGAGUGAUGAAGGUCUUCGGAUCGUAAAACUCUGUUAUUAGGGAAGAACAAAUGUGUAAGUAACUAUGCACGUCUUGACGGUACCUAAUCAGAAAGCCACGGCUAACUACGUG
rnacentral:rRNA from 1 species